CAACGUAUGGAGGAUGAAUGUUUCCUCAGCGGCUAGCAAAAGAAGAUGAAUGAAUCACACGCAAUUAGAGGCUAAGGCACAUGACCUUUAACGGUGGGGGCGAUCAGAUCAGACGCGUCCUCCUCCUACUCCUCCUGUGGCGUUGGCGAUGAAGGACAGCAGCGGGUUGCCGCUGCCGGCGGCCUGGUCGGGCUCGUCGAGGAAGAGGUCCUCCGGGACGCGGAACGCGCCGUGCGCGCAGACGACGGCGGCGCCGAGGGCGAGCGCGGAGAAGAUGAGCGAGCCGACGGAGGUGAGGAAGACGACGAAGGCCGAGGAUGCGAUGAGGCCCCCGAGCACCUCCUUAUCGGAGAAGGUGCGCCCGAACGCGGCGAGAGGCGGCGCGUCGGCGGGGCGGAGGAUGUAGAGGAGGCACCAGGCGGCGAGCAGGGCGAGGAGGGCGGCGAGCGAGAAGGGGUGGGCGAGGAGGGCGGCGGCGAGGGAGAGCGCGACGACGGCGGCGUAGUUGACGCGGAAGUAGGCGAGAUUCUUGCGGAGGCGGGAGGUGGCGUCGGAGAGGGAGUCCGGGCGGGAGAGCGCGGAGCGGUCGGCGAGCUCGGACCAGGGGCGGGCGCCGGAGAGCGCGCGCCUGGCGGAGUCGAGGAGGCGGGAGAGGAAGGCGCGCGCCGCGGCCGGGUUGGCGUCGGCGGCGACGUCGGCGGAGGAGACGGCGGUGGGGAUGGGGGUGGGGGUUGGUGUUGCCGCCGGGGCGACGGAGGUGGGGAGGAGCGGAGGGGAGGGCGCGGCCAUGGUGCGUGGCCGGGUUUGGCGGAUCUGGGCGAGGGAGGCUGAGGGACGAGGACGCACGCGGAGAGGGAGAGAUGGAAGCCGAACAACCAACACAAAAGAAGGGAGCGAGGCCACCGACCGCACCGACACACGCAACAAAGAAAUGGACUAGUCAACGCGUCGCCACGGUGCACGUCAAAAAUUGCCGGCCAAGGAUCGUGCAAAUUCUAUGUCAGUUAUAUUUGUGAGUUUGCAUGGUUUUCAAAAUGCACACAGUU
rnacentral:lncRNA from 1 species